rnacentral:rRNA from 1 species
UACGGAGGGUGCAAGCGUUACUCGGAAUUACUGGGCGCAAAGCGCACGCAGGCGGUUUGUUAAGUCAGAUGUGAAGUCCCCGAGCUUAACUUGGGAACUGCAUUUGAAACUGGCAAGCUAGAGUCUUGUAGAGGGGGGUAGAAUUCCAGGUGUAGCGGUGAAAUGCGUAGAGAUCUGGAGGAAUACCGGUGGCGAAGGCGGCCCCCUGGACAAAGACUGACGCUCAGGUGCGAAAGCGUGGGGAGCAAACAGG